rnacentral:lncRNA from 1 species
AAAGUUGUCUUCCAUAUCUUGUGCUUCAGUUGAGGAUUACCUGGGAUCGGUGUUGGGUUGUUAUUAUCAGGGAGAUGGGUUCCCAACCAAUAACCUGAUUUCACUGUGUGGAUCCCAUCUUGAUUAUAAUGCUAACCAACCAGAUCAUUAACUGCUUUGCAACUUAUUUUGAGAGCUAGUAUUCGUUCUACAUCUUCUGGAACCACAAAUUGCCUAAGUAUUUCUUCAUU